rnacentral:lncRNA from 1 species
CAUCACUUCAGGAACUUUGCUGCGGUGUGUUCCCUCACACGAGCUGCUCAGUAAAGUCUUCACAUUAAUAGUCUUCCCCUCAGCGCUGAGCGUGUUUAUGCCGUUCUGGGUCAUGUAUUCGGCUUCUCGCGAAAUUAUUUACCCUGAAGUUUUUGGGGAUGUCGUCUCAGACUUCAAGUUCCACAGCGUCCACACUGUUCCACUAGUGGCAGUGGCAGCUGAGGUGACGCUUUUCCCACGGCCAUUUCCUCCAAAGUGGAUUGGAUUCGUUUCCAGCACUUCCAUCUACUGCUUAUACCUGGCCUGGGCAUUUUCACGAACGUCUUGCUGUCAACACUUCUCAAUACAUGAAUUCCAGUUUAUGUCCGUUCGACGAUUUGCAACGUUUCUGUCGAUGACGACGCUCUCCCAAUAUUGCGUGUAUUCAUUCUUCCAACUGGUCAACUCAGGAAUUAAAGGCCUCAGAAAUUUGCUUCACAAAGCCAUAGCCUUCAGAAGCACCAGCCUCCAUGCAGCGGAUAUCAACGCCAAGAAAAACUGUUGAUGAUUACAACUAUUCUGCAUAUUUAUUAAGAUUUCAGUGGUAUUUAGGAAAUUGAGUUUAAUUGGUCUUCAUUUGAGAAAGUAUAACCUUAUUUUUCUAUAACUUUAAUUAUGCAAUGAUUCAUCAUAAUUGUUAAGCUGUUUUUCAUAGUGAGUUACCACAAGCAGGGUAGCUUUAGCUUCCUCUCCACAUUGCGCGAUCGAGGUUGCCAGAAUAACUGCUUCAAAUUAAUUAAAGCUAAAUUUUUACCAUUUUUAAUCCAUUAUAGUGUACCCAAUUGAAUGUUUACAAGCCGUACGCUUUGCUGGUGCGUUUUAAGCGGUUACAAUACAAUUUCUAUAAAGUCAUGUAGUUAAUUUCUCACAUGAAAUUGGGUAUUAUCAUAAGAGGAAAAUUCCGGCACGUGACGAGAGUUGCUGUCGCCAUACGACAAACCUCGUCAGCUGACAAGGGGUUCUCCAUAUUUAUUUCGUGAAAGUCAUAAAUAUAACAAGAAAUGCUAGUUCGCCAAACCGAGUUUUUGCAUAUAUGCUUGAAAAUGAAGUUUAGUCUGCAUACAUUUUAAAUUUUAUUUGAGGCGUGAAAUAAUAAUUCAGUAAGUAAUGUUCAGAUAUUAGAAAUAUAUUCAUAAAAUAUUCAUAAAACGGACACUUCGAGUGCGUGAGGGGACACGUG